rnacentral:rRNA from 1 species
GACGAGGAUCCCAGCUUGCUGGGGGAUUAGUGGCGAACGGGUGAGUAACACGUGAGUAACCUGCCCUUGACUCUGGGAUAAGCCUGGGAAACUGGGUCUAAUACCGGAUAUGACCAUCUGACGCAUGUCAUGGUGGUGGAAAGCUUUUGUGGUUUUGGAUGGACUCGCGGCCUAUCAGCUUGUUGGUGGGGUAAUGGCCUACCAAGGCGACGACGGGUAGCCGGCCUGAGAGGGUGACCGGCCACACUGGGACUGAGACACGGCCCAGACUCCUACGGGAGGCAGCAGUGGGGAAUAUUGCACAAUGGGCGGAAGCCUGAUGCAGCGACGCCGCGUGAGGGAUGACGGCCUUCGGGUUGUAAACCUCUUUCAGUAGGGAAGAAGCGAAAGUGACGGUACCUGCAGAAGAAGCGCCGGCUAACUACGUGCCAGCAGCCGCGGUAAUACGUAGGGCGCAAGCGUUAUCCGGAAUUAUUGGGCGUAAAGAGCUCGUAGGCGGUUUGUCGCGUCUGCUGUGAAAGACCGGGGCUCAACUCCGGUUCUGCAGUGGGUACGGGCAGACUAGAGUGCAGUAGGGGAGACUGGAAUUCCUGGUGUAGCGGUGAAAUGCGCAGAUAUCAG